rnacentral:rRNA from 1 species
UACGUAGGGUGCAAGCGUUAAUCGGAAUUACUGGGCGUAAAGCGUGCGCAGGCGGUUGUGCAAGACAGAUGUGAAAUCCCCGGGCUCAGCCUGGGAAUUGCAUUUGUGACUGCACGGCUAGAGUGUGUCAGAGGGGGGUAGAAUUCCACGUGUAGCAGUGAAAUGCGUAGAGAUGUGGAGGAAUACCGAUGGCGAAGGCAGCCCCCUGGGAUAACACUGACGCUCAUGCACGAAAGGCGUGGGGAGCAAACAGG